UUUUCAACUGUUGGGAAUACUAAGUAUACCCAACGGUUUAUAAUUGUGGGGAAUACUUAGUAUUCCGAAUAAGGGAAAAGAUGCAUUUUAUACCUAAUUAAUAUUCUUGAUUGAAAAUUUGGGACAGGCGCUGGUUCGAAUAUUGGACCCAAGGCUGAUAAUUUCAAACCAAUAACCCUAAAUCUUCUCUCUCUCUCUCUCUCUCUCUCUCAACAAUAACCCUAAAUUUCAGAUGAGGAUACUCUCCCGACGGCAUAUCCUUUCUUCUCAGCUCCCGACGAUACUCUGCCCGACGAUUCCCCAAGUUGAAGCCCAUGGGAAGCCAAGUCGAAGCUCCUUUCUCCCCUGCUCCUUUUUGAGUUCUUAUCGGCAAUGUUGCUUCAAAAUGUGUAAUGCAGCGUGAACUAAACAAAAAUGAGUUGAACGGUGUUUAUGCAUUUAUAAAUCCUGCGACUGUGGCGUCUACUCAUGGCUUAUGGUACAACGAGCGUGUAGCUUUGCUUUUUCAGCGAUUGAGCAACAUACAUAGUUAUUCAUAGGUGGACAUGAAUGAUUGUUUUUUUGAGAUAUACACUCUAACUUGACCAAUGUAUAAAUGUGUUUUUUAAUAUAUAUUAUCUAACUUAACAAAUGUAUGAAUUUUCUUUUAUAAAAAUAUUAUUAAUGUUAUUAUAUUUUUUCAUUA